rnacentral:rRNA from 1 species
GAUCUGGUCAGGACGAACGCUGGCGGCGUAGCCUAAUACAUGCAAGUCGAACGGCUUUUCUAUGGAAGCUUGCUUCCACUGAAAAGAUAGUGGCGAACGGGUGAGUAACACGUGGGUAACCUGCCCAUAAGAGGGGGAUAACAUCCGGAAACGGGUGCUAAUACCGCAUAGUUUUCUUGAUCGCAUGAUCGGGAAAGGAAAGACGGCCUUUGUGCUGUCGCUUAUGGAUGGACCCGCGGCGUAUUAGGUUAGUUGGUGAGGUAACGGCUCACCAAGACGAUGAUACGUAGCCGACCUGAGAGGGUGAUCGGCCACAUUGGGACUGAGACACGGCCCAAACUCCUACGGGAGGCAGCAGUAGGGAAUCUUCCGCAAUGGACGAAAGGUCUGACGGAGCAACGCCGGCGUGAGUGAAGAAAAGGUUUUCGGAUCGUAAAACUCUGUUGUCAGAGAAGAACAAGUUGGAGAGUAACUGCUCCAGCCUUGACGGUAUCUGACCAGAAAGCCACGGCUAACUACGUGCCAGCAGCGGC